CAAGGCCAAAAAGUUGCCGAUCGAUCCGCAAGUCCACCAGAGGUAAGCCAGUCAGUCACUGGCUGCCAGGAUCCAGCAGUGUGCCAGAGCCACAACAUCAUCUCCUGCACACGCAUGGCAUCCAUGACUGCCUGCUUCUUGAACAGCAGGAAACCCCAGCCGACCCGACACACAGCAAAGUAUAGGACCCUGCACAGCCAGUGAAACAGCAGCAACAGCUACCCAAUUGAUUUCCGAAGCCAAGGCACAGAGACUGCUGAGAAAAACCAGAUGGCCGCUGUCAUUUUGUUCAACCACUCGAAGGACGUGGUCAGUGACUGGGAUACAAGACCGAUGGCAUGGAGAACAGAAAUGUAUGAAGUUGUACACACCUUUCCUUAUCAUCUUUAGAGGACGAUUCUCUUUUCUCUGAAUCUCUGUCAUGAGCGG